GGGUUGUGAGGUUAAGCGACUAAGCGUACACGGUGGAUGCCCUGGCAGUCAGAGGCGAUGAAGGACGUGCUAAUCUGCGAAAAGCGACGGCGAGGUGAUAUGAACCUUUGACCCGUCGAUGUCCGAAUGGGGAAACCCAGUGCAAUCCGUUGCACUAUCGUUAACUGAAUACAUAGGUUAACGAGGCGAACCGGGGGAACUGAAACAUCUAAGUACCCCGAGGAAAAGAAAUCAACCGAGAUUCCCCCAGUAGCGGCGAGCGAACGGGGAGCAGCCCGGAGUCUGAAUCAGCUUGUGUGUUAGUGGAAGCGUCUGGAAAGUCGCACGGUACAGGGUGACAGUCCCGUACACGAAAAUGCACAGGUUGUGAACUCGAAGAGUAGGGCGGGACACGUGGUAUCCUGUCUGAAUAUGGGGGGACCAUCCUCCAAGGCUAAAUACUCCUGACUGACCGAUAGUGAACCAGUACCGUGAGGGAAAGGCGAAAAGAACCCCGGCGAGGGGAGUGAAAAAGAACCUGAAACCGUGUACGUACAAGCAGUGGGAGCACCUUCGGGUGUGACUGCGUACCUUUUGUAUAAUGGGUCAGCGACUUAUAUUCUGUAGCAAGGUUAACCGUAUAGGGGAGCCGAAGGGAAACCGAGUCUUAACUGGGCGUUAAGUUGCAGGGUAUAGACCCGAAACCCGGUGAUCUAGCCAUGGGCAGGUUGAAGGUUGGGUAACACUAACUGGAGGACCGAACCGACUAAUGUUGAAAAAUUAGCGGAUGACCUGUGGCUGGGGGUGAAAGGCCAAUCAAACCGGGAGAUAGCUGGUUCUCCCCGAAAGCUAUUUAGGUAGCGCCUCGUGAACUCAUCUUCGGGGGUAGAGCACUGUUUCGGCUAGGGGGCCAUCCCGGCUUACCAACCCGAUGCAAACUACGAAUACCGAAGAAUGUUAUCACGGGAGACACACGGCGGGUGCUAACGUCCGUCGUGAAGAGGGAAACAACCCAGACCGCCAGCUAAGGUCCCAAAGUCAUGGUUAAGUGGGAAACGAUGUGGGAAGGCACAGACAGCCAGGAUGUUGGCUUAGAAGCAGCCAUCAUUUAAAGAAAGCGUAAUAGCUCACUGGUCGAGUCGGCCUGCGCGGAAGAUGUAACGGGGCUAAACCAUGCACCGAAGCUGCGGCAGCGACACUAUGUGUUGUUGGGUAGGGGAGCGUUCUGUAAGCCGUCGAAGGUGGCCUGUGAGGGUUGCUGGAGGUAUCAGAAGUGCGAAUGCUGACAUAAGUAACGAUAAAGCGGGUGAAAAGCCCGCUCGCCGGAAGACCAAGGGUUCCUGUCCAACGUUAAUCGGGGCAGGGUGAGUCGACCCCUAAGGCGAGGCCGAAAGGCGUAGUCGAUGGGAAACAGGUUAAUAUUCCUGUACUUGGUGUUACUGCGAAGGGGGGACGGAGAAGGCUAUGUCAGCCGGGCGACGGUUGUCCCGGUUUAAGCGUGUAGGUGUGUGUUCCAGGCAAAUCCGGUUCACUUUAACACUGAGGCGUGAUGACGAGGCACUACGGUGCUGAAGUGAUAAAUGCCCUGCUUCCAGGAAAAGCCUCUAAGCAUCAGGUAACACGAAAUCGUACCCCAAACCGACACAGGUGGUCAGGUAGAGAAUACCAAGGCGCUUGAGAGAACUCGGGUGAAGGAACUAGGCAAAAUGGUGCCGUAACUUCGGGAGAAGGCACGCUGAUAUGUAGGUGAAGUCCCUGCGGACGGAGCUGAAAUCAGUCGAAGAUACCAGCUGGCUGCAACUGUUUAUUAAAAACACAGCACUGUGCAAACACGAAAGUGGACGUAUACGGUGUGACGCCUGCCCGGUGCCGGAAGGUUAAUUGAUGGGGUUAGCGGCAACGCGAAGCUCUUGAUCGAAGCCCCGGUAAACGGCGGCCGUAACUAUAACGGUCCUAAGGUAGCGAAAUUCCUUGUCGGGUAAGUUCCGACCUGCACGAAUGGCGUAAUGAUGGCCAGGCUGUCUCCACCCGAGACUCAGUGAAAUUGAACUCGCUGUGAAGAUGCAGUGUACCCGCGGCAAGACGGAAAGACCCCGUGAACCUUUACUAUAGCUUGACACUGAACACUGGUCCUUGAUGUGUAGGAUAGGUGGGAGGCUUUGAAGCGUGGACGCCAGUCUGCGUGGAGCCAUCCUUGAAAUACCACCCUUUAAUGGCUGGUGUUCUAACGUGGACCCGUGAUCCGGGUUGCGGACAGUGUCUGGUGGGUAGUUUGACUGGGGCGGUCUCCUCCCAAAGAGUAACGGAGGAGCACGAAGGUUAGCUAAUCCUGGUCGGACAUCAGGAGGUUAGUGCAAUGGCAUAAGCUAGCUUGACUGCGAGAGUGACGGCUCGAGCAGGUGCGAAAGCAGGUCAUAGUGAUCCGGUGGUUCUGAAUGGAAGGGCCAUCGCUCAACGGAUAAAAGGUACUCCGGGGAUAACAGGCUGAUACCGCCCAAGAGUUCAUAUCGACGGCGGUGUUUGGCACCUCGAUGUCGGCUCAUCACAUCCUGGGGCUGAAGUAGGUCCCAAGGGUAUGGCUGUUCGCCAUUUAAAGUGGUACGCGAGCUGGGUUUAGAACGUCGUGAGACAGUUCGGUCCCUAUCUGCCGUGGGCGCUGGAGAAUUGAGGGGGGCUGCUCCUAGUACGAGAGGACCGGAGUGGACGCAUCACUGGUGUUCGGGUUGUCAUGCCAAUGGCACUGCCCGGUAGCUAAAUGCGGAAGAGAUAAGUGCUGAAAGCAUCUAAGCACGAAACUUGCCCCGAGAUGAGUUCUCCCUGAGACUUUAAGUCUCCUGAAGGAACGUUGAAGACGACGACGUUGAUAGGCCGGGUGUGUAAGCGCAGCGAUGCGUUGAGCUAACCGGUACUAAUGAACCGUGAGGCUUAACCUUACAACGCCGAAGCUGUU
rnacentral:rRNA from 1 species